AUUAACAAACAUUUUAGCUUACCAUUACUUCUAAAGUUUGGGAGAUCCUAUAUGGCAGUCAGCAGCUUGAUAUAUUUGCAAACAUCCAUGACAACCCCCAUAACUGCAAGUUACAUUAAUUUGAUAAAUGCUAUCAAACCCAACAAUGGUGCAGUUUGAAAGUAUUACGAAAGUUCAUGUGCCUAAUAGUAAUACACUAUUAUAAAUACAUAUGAGAAAUAGAGUCUAUAGAUUAUUCAUAGCUGCAGAAUGUUCCAAACCGAAGAAAAGUUUACUGAAAAAUGCUGAGAAAUAAGUUACCUCAUUUUCGCGACCUGCUACCACAGAAUAAGACUAGAUUAGGAAUAUUAAUUGCAUUCAAUAGUAUUUCAGUAUAUCAUACACAAAAUUAAAUAUUAUUUUCACUUGUAAACAAUUAAAAGCGAUUUGUUUAUGACCCCACAAUAUUUAUGAUGAAGAAAAAGUGGUGAAAUGCUAAUGCUGGGAG